CAUGAAAUUUUAUAUCAUAUCGUGUCUAUUCUUAUCCGCCAGCAGGUACAGGUGUUGGCGGUGGAUGCACCGGCCUUGUAGGUCGUGGUGGACGUCUUUGGGCUAGACCAUAGGACUGGCCAAUGACCAUGAGGCCAACAAUGAUGACAACUAAGCCGUACAAGAAUUGCAUCUUGAGUUUACUGAUCGAUGCGACAUGAGAGUAUUUAUAGGAAAACCUGAUGCUAAUGUUAGGUAAAUGGAACUAAUUACUAAAGUCAUUGUAAUUCUACAUUUCCUAUAUACUACAAUUAGCCUACAUACAACUCAAGUAAAACGCAUAAAAUAUAACUUUUAAGUAGGAGAAAAUUAAAAGGUUAAAAAUUAUGAAAAUUUAACCAGUUGCUGAUAAAAAAGAGAACGCAAUACAAACUAAUGCUGAAAUUUGUAUUAUAUAUGGAUGAUGAAAAACCAUCAAAAACUAUUGACAUCAGCGAAAUUGGGAAUCACUAACCGAUGGUUUUGGAUGAAAAUACAACGAUAAAGAUAAGGACGAUACAUCAGAGCCAUUGGCAGAGAUGUCAGCUAAGGAAGCUGUAGCCUCAUUUGAUAACUUGGAUGAAUCAACAGAUCAGCCUUAAAAUUUAAUUUAUACAUGAGUUCUUUUUAAAGAUUAUUUAAUUCACAUUAUUAAAAUAUAAAACACUUGCAGUUAUUUUUUCAAAAAUUAAA